rnacentral:sRNA from 2 species
GCGGAGGAAAAGAAACCAACAGGGAUUGCCUCAGUAACGGCGAGUGAAGCGGCAACAGCUCAAAUUUGAAAUCUGGCUCUUUCAGGGUCCGAGUUGUAAUUUGUAGAGGAUGCUUCGGCGUGGGCCCCGGUCUAAGUUCCUUGGAACAGGACGUCACAGAGGGUGAGAAUCCCGUACGUGGCCGGCGGUGCUCGCCAUGUGAAGCUCCUUCGACGAGUCGAGUUGUUUGGGAAUGCAGCUCUAAAUGGGAGGUAAAUUUCUUCUAAAGCUAAAUACUGGCCAGAGACCGAUAGCGCACAAGUAGAGUGAUCGAAAGAUGAAAAGCACUUUGGAAAGAGAGUCAAAAAGUACGUGAAAUUGUUGAAAGGGAAGCGCUUGCAACCAGACCUGCCCGUAGUUGCUCAUCCAGGCUUCUGCCUGGUGCACUCUUCUGCGGUCAGGCCAGCAUCAGUUCUGGCGGUCGGAUAAAGGCGGCGGGAAUGUAGCUCCUCUCGGGGAGUGUUAUAGCCCGCCGUGUCAUGCGGCCAGCCGGGACUGAGGUCCGCGCUUCGGCUAGGAUGCUGGCGUAAUGGUUGUAAGCGGCCCGUCUUGAAACACGGACCAAGGAGUCUAACAUCUGUGCGAGUGUUUGGGUGUCAAGCCCGGACGCGUAAUGAAAGUGAACGGAGGCGGGAACCUUUGGGUGCACCGUCGACCGAUCCUGAUGUCUUCGGAUGGAUUUGAGUAAGAGCAUAGCUGUUGGGACCCGAAAGAUGGUGAACUAUGCCUGAAUAGGGUGAAGCCAGAGGAAACUCUGGUGGAGGCUCGCAGCGGUUCUGACGUGCAAAUCGAUCGUCAAAUUUGGGCAU